ensembl:ncRNA H37A05.6 ncRNA
CAUCACAUGAUCAAUGAUGGCGCCAUGACGGAAAGGGAGAAGAAAUUGAAAAAAAAACGGAAAACGGAUGGAAAUGUAUGCGAAAGCGUGUGUGGCGACGAGCGACCGCGUGGUCUGAAACACCACGUGGUAUGGGAGAAUGUGUUCCGUAUUUUAG